rnacentral:rRNA from 1 species
UACGGAGGGUGCAAGCGUUGUCCGGAAUCACUGGGCGUAAAGGGCGCGUAGGCGGCUCAUGAAGGCUGUGGUGAAAGUCCGGGGCUCAACCUCGGAUCGGCCAUGGCGACUCGUGGGCUGGAGCACUGUAGAGGCGGGUGGAAUUCCGGGUGUAGCGGUGGAAUGCGUAGAGAUCCGGAAGAACACCAGUGGCGAAGGCGGCCCGCUGGGCAGUGGCUGACGCUGAGGCGCGACAGCGUGGGGAGCAAACAGG